UAUGAGCGAUUUUCAAAUAUGCGUGGUGAUUCUUGACCUCAAGAUGAUGAUAGAAGGUUAAUUCUUGGAUAUGAAGGUCAGAAAAAUUAAACGAAGUGAAAUUUGUUUACGUUUCGGCCCGAGUUGGGGCCCUCCUCGGAACGAAAUAUUUAUCAU